rnacentral:rRNA from 1 species
CAAUAAGCGGAGGAAAAGAAACCAACAGGGAUUACCUCAGUAACGGCGAGUGAAGCGGUAACAGCUCAAAUUUGAAAUCUGGCCUCGGUCCGAAUUGUAAUUUGUAGAAGAUGCUUCGGGCGUGGCACCGGUCUAAGUUCCUUGGAACAGGACGUCAUAGAGGGUGAGGAUCCCGUAUGUGACUGGCCGCCUAACCCAUGUGAAGCUCUUUCGACGAGUCGAGUUGUUUGGGAAUGCAGCUCAAAAUGGGUGGUAUAUUUCAUCUAAAGCUAAAUAUUGGCCAGAGACCGAUAGCGCACAAGUAGAGUGAUCGAAAGAUGAAAAGCACUUUGGAAAGAGAGUUAAACAGUACGUGAAAUUGUUGAAAGGGAAGCGCUUGCAACCAGACUUGCGCGUAGUCGAUCAUCCGAUGUUCUCACCGGUGCACUCGACUGCGCUCAGGCCAGCAUCGGUUUGGGUGGUUGGAUAAAGGCCUUGGGAAUGUAGCUCCUUCGGGAGUGUUAUAGCCCUCGGUGCAAUGCAGCCUACCCAGACCGAGG